UAGGGAAUCUUCCACAAUGGACGCAAGUCUGAUGGAGCAACGCCGCGUGAGUGAAGAAGGCUUUCGGGUCGUAAAACUCUGUUAUUGAAGAAGAACGUGUGUGACAGUAACUGGUCAUGCAGUGACGGUAUUCAAUCAGAAAGUCACGGCUAACUACGUGCCAGCAGCCGCGGUAUACGUAGGUGGCAAGCGUUGUCCGGAUUUAUUGGGCGUAAAGCGAGUGCAGGCGGUCUUUUAAGUCUGAUGUGAAAGCCUUCGGCUUAACCGAAGAAGGGCAUCGGAAACUGGGAGACUUGAGUGCAGAAGAGGAGAGUGGAACUCCAUGUGUAGCGGUGAAAUGCGUAGAUAUAUGGAAGAACACCAGUGGCGAAGGCGGCUCUCUGGUCUGUAACUGACGCUGAGGCUCGAAAGCGUGGGUAGCAAAC
rnacentral:rRNA from 1 species